rnacentral:lncRNA from 1 species
CUAGUAGAUGUGAUCUAUACUACAUAGAUGUGAUCUAUGAUUUAUUUUUCAGAUUACAUACAUAUCAUAAGAUCCAUAAUUAAGUAGUUUUUAGAUCUGAUCUGAUGCAUAUUAGAUUAAAAGAUUUAAUCUAGAUCCAUUUCGAUAUAUGCUUGAUCAAAAAAUUUUUGAAUUAUAUGUAUGAAACUACCACAUUCUAAUAGUGGUAUCAGAGCCACAGAUUCAAUCUUGAUAUGCAUGA